AUUGGGCAGAAUGUCAUACUGGGUGUCACAGAAUUCGAUAUGUUGUAUCUCUUGAUAAGAUGUGAUAGUGAACGUUUCACAAAAUAAAUUAAGACUGAUAUGUCAUGACAUUUCUGCUCUUGCUUCCUAGAUCGAAUUUUAAUUGGCUUUAACGAGAUUGGGCACUGAUAUUACUCCGUUUGCUCAAGCAGAAAAUAAUUUUAUUUUUAUUAUAUGGACGCCAUUACAGUGGGAUUAGCUUCAAGUUUUUUAGAGAAACCAACUAUGUACAAAAUAUUAUCUAAUGUGUCAAAAUAUACAGUCUACAAUGAACUGCAUAAAACAUCAUCGAUUCUUCGUGGACCAUCUAUAACGACUUUAAAUUUAAAUAAGCAAUCACUUCCUAAACAACCUGUUCCUGAUCUCAAGCAAACUGCAGAACGUUAUUUGAAAUCUUUAAAGCCAUUGUUGACUGAUGAAGAACAUAAAAAUACAGAGAAGAUUGUAAAUGAAUUUAUAAGCAAGAAUGGUGUAGGACCUCGAUUACAUGCUAAAUUAUUGGAGAGAUAUCACAAUACUGAUAACUGGAUGAAAGAAUGGUGGUUGCAAGUUGCAUACUUAGGAUAUCGUGUUCCUGUGAUUGUACAUUCCAGUCCUGGAACUGUUGGACCACCAGUUACUUUCAAUAAACCAGACGAUUUAUAUCUAUUUGCGGCGCGUCUCAUUGUUGGAGUAUGUAAUUACAAUGAAAUGGUCAAGAGUGGAAAUAUGAAACAAGAAAUGGCUCGCAAUGAUCCACUUGACAUGCAGCCUUAUGGCUUGAUACUUGGCACACAUAGGCAACCCAACAAAAUGAUUGAUAAACUGUUGCACACAGAUGAGGCCACACACAUAAUAAUCAUAAGCAAUAAUCAUUUCUUUAAACUUUGCGUUAUCGAUAAAAACGGCAUUUUAAAUGAGAGUAAAUUCAUGUCUGCUAUAAAAGAUAUUGCAGAUCGCUCAUGUAUGCCAGGGAAGCCUAUAGGAAUUUUAACUGGAAAUGACAGAGAUACUUGGGCAAAGGAUCAUAGUUUACUUUUAGAGUUGGGUAAUAACAGAAAUAUAAUCAAGAAUAUAGAAACGUCCUUAUUUAUACUGUGCUUGGACAAAAAUAUACCUAAAACCGCUUUUCAGGAAAAAAAUAAUGCUUCAGUUAGAGCAGUGCAGACUAUGACAGGUUUCAACAGCUGUCUAAAUGCAGCCAACAGGUGGCACGAUAAAACUGUGCAGUAUAUAAUAUCUGCAGAUGGUUAUAUUGGUAUGGAAUAUGAACACAGUCCAUGUGAGGGUAUUCCUGUUGCUGUUCUUCAUGAUUACGUAUUAAGAUACAUAACAGCAAGAGAAAAUAGCCCAAAAUACGAAGAUUUUAAAGAUUUUCCCAGAGCAGAAUUAUUAAAAUUCGAAACUAAUAAUGUUAUAGAGAAUGCAAUUGAGAAAGCUACUGAUACUGUAGACAAACUUUCAGAUGAUAUAGAUAUGGAAUGUUUUACAUUUGACAAGUUCGGUACAGAUGCGAUAAAAGCAAUUAAAUUGAGUCCCGACAGUUUUAUCCAAAUUGCGAUGCAAGUAACCUUCUACAACUUGCAAAGGGAACCGCAAGCGCAUUACGAAAGUGCAGCAUUACGAAGAUUUAUUAAUGCCAGAACCGAAUGCAUCAGAUCUACUUGUACAGAAUCUGUGGAAUUUGCAAAAAUGUUAUGCUAUGACAGUGACUGCAAGACCAAAGCGCAAAAGAAAGAAAUGAUGAUCAAAGCUAUAAAUGCUCAUAAAGAAAUAGCUGGACAAGCGGCGAUAGGCCAAGGUGUCGAUCGGCACUUAUUCGGUUUAAAAAUGAUAGCGCAGAGCGAAAGAAUGGAGCUCCCGGAAUUGUAUAAGGAUAUUGGUUAUACCAAAAGUACAUGUUUUAAUUUAACAUCCAGUCAGGUACCAUAUACUUCAGCAUCUUUUAUGUGCUAUGGACCGGUCGUUCCCGAUGGUUACGCUUGUUGUUACAAUCCACGACCGAAAGAUAUUCUGUUUGCCUGUUCCUCGUUUAAAUCUUGCGAAAAGACCAAUACGAAGGACUUUGCGCGUGUUUUACAACAGACACUAUACGACAUGCGAGAGAUAGGAAGCGAAUAACAUUAUAAAAAGAUAUGCAGUUUUACUGUAAUGAGAGUUCAGUCAAGAAAUUCAUAUUUUUAUAUGCAAUAUUUACGAUGCACAUUUUAUAAAAUUAUAAUUCUGAAUGGGAUAUGAAAGCUUUUUCAUUAGGAAAGCCCCAGAAAAAUGUUGGAAAUCCCUUGACUUCUCUUUCUCUGGCUACAAUAGCGGUGAAGGAAGAAAUGCAAUUUCCUAUGAAAUAGUUGGCUCUUCCAAGAAUUGCUAAAUCCAAAUGAGGCGAUGCCGGCGGUUCUUGUCGAAAUACUGGUAUCUGCAUAUACAUAUAAAGAUAAAGUUAUAAUGAUAAGAUAAUCAUUAGUAAUAACAUGAUAAUAAUAUGGUAAAUAUAUAAUCUUACCUUCAUACGUGCUAAAGCUUCUCCAAGUUUAUCCAACAUGUGAUUACUGUCGGAUGCCACAAAUACCGAUUUGAUAUUAUUGCCAUUACGAAUGACACGUUUCAGAUGACGUACUAUUAAUUCGAACGAUGGUAAGCACAUAGACAUGGUUGCUUUGCCACGUUCGUUGCGAUAUCCAAGGCACUGAGGCGCAGCGAAGAGAUUAGGCGUGAAUGAUAUAUGUUCGCAAGCGCGUACCUGAAAGUCAUAACAAAAAAACAUUAUAUUCUAGGAUAAUUAAAAUUAUACUCUACAUUAAAAUAUAAGUAUAUAUAUA